rnacentral:rRNA from 1 species
UACGUAGGGUGCGAGCGUUGUCCGGAAUUAUUGGGCGUAAAGAGCUUGUAGGCGGUUUGUCGCGUCUGCUGUGAAAAUCCGAGGCUCAACCUCGGACUUGCAGUGGGUACGGGCAGACUAGAGUGUGGUAGGGGAGACUGGAAUUCCUGGUGUAGCGGUGGAAUGCGCAGAUAUCAGGAGGAACACCGAUGGCGAAGGCAGGUCUCUGGGCCACUACUGACGCUGAGAAGCGAAAGCAUGGGGGAGCGAACAGG